rnacentral:lncRNA from 1 species
GCUANUUGACUAGUGUACUCCCCUAUUUUCUUUGGUUCCUUGGAUUCUAACAUAUACAAACUCUAUUCUUUAGCAAUUAAAAUGGUCUUCCUUGUGAUAAAGUCCUGAAAGACAUGGUAAGAGGAGAAAAACACUAAUAAAAGUUCAAGUCUUUUGUAAGGAUUUGUAUAGAGAUAAGACUAUUGGUCAGUGUUGGGACAUAUAAAAGACCCUAUAAUUUAAUAAAUGAUUCUAACAUUAUAUUCCUGAUUCAGCAUAUGUAUGCUAUCACCAUUUACAAAUGUAAUGAGUUGUUUUCUAUUCGUUUUAACGUAUGAAUUGAAAAAAUAAGAAACAGUCAUUUGAUGAAUGGUUCUUUAAUCAAGUAUCCAAACACCCU